rnacentral:lncRNA from 1 species
AUUCUAAGGCGUUGCCCGGUGACGGCUGGAGUUCUUGACUAUUAGCUCCCCUCAGGCUGGUGGGGCACUGGGCACUGCUGGCCGUUCUGCAGGAUGACCAAGAAACAGUUUUUCUGCACACGAAUUUGGGUUCGGAUGCACCAUUAUUUUGUGAGGCUGUGUCAGCGCCUCCGAAAAUUCUGGAAGGUCACUAUCAAGGGCUAUUUUGCUGAGGAGGAGGAAGAAGUUCACAUGUCUUCAGCUGAGAGUAUUUUUCACAAAGAAAAAAUGCUGGCACUUGGCAACAUCUUGAAGAAUCAGCUUCUACCCUUUGAAGCGAGAGCCCAGGCUGCCCAGAAAAUUGGGCUGCUGGCUUUCACAGGUGGACCCGCAGCUGGGAGAUUUGCAGCUGAGUACAUGAAAGAAAUAGCUAACUUGUUGCAAAAUGAGGAGGUGUCACCAAAGGUGAAGGUUCUGCUGCUCCAGAGCGUGGCAUGUUGGUGCUACUUAAACCCUGUCAGCCAGAGAAAAGCCAGACACCUGAAAUUUAUUCCCAUUCUCACUCAGUUUUUGGAACACCAUCUUCAGUCUACUGUCAAAAGUGAAGUCAAUAGUGACCUCCUUGUUAAAUUUUGGACGUGUUAUGCUCUGUCUGUCAUGACGUGCAAUAACUUAGCAUUCAUGAAGGAGCUUAAAGACUACAAUAGUCUAAGAUGUAAUUUGCAACUGUUGGCUACAGAGAAUUGGUCUGGAUGGCCUGAGAAUUUUGCAGAAGUGCUGUAUUUCCUAAUAGGUUUUCACAGGAAUUGAUUUUUCUAAACUCAGUUACAUGAUGCAGUAUCUGUGCCACUGUACUACCCUGGAAACCUUAAUAAAAGUCG